GAUGAACGCUGGCGGCGUGCCUAAUACAUGCAAGUCGAGCGAACGGACGAGAAACUUGCUUCACUGAUGUUAGCGGCGGACGGGUGAGUAACACGUGGAUAACCUACCUAUAAGACUGGGAUAACUUCGGGAAACCGGAGCUAAUACCGGAUAAUAUUUUGAACCGCAUGGUUCAAAAGUGAAAGACGGUCUUGCUGUCACUUAUAGAUGGAUCCGCGCUGCAUUAGCUAGUUGGUAAGGUAACGGCUUACCAAGGCAACGAUGCAUAGCCGACCUGAGAGGCUGAUCGGCCACAGUGGAAGUGAGACACGGACCAGACUCCUACGGGAUGCAGCAGUAGGGAAACUUCCGCCAUGGGCGAAAGCCUGACGGAGCAACGCCGCGUGAGUGAUGAAGGUCUUCGGAUCCUAAAACGUUGUUACUAGGGAAGAACAUAUGUGUAAGUAACUGUGCACAUCUUGACGGUACCUAAUCAGAAAGCCACGGCUAACUACGUG
rnacentral:rRNA from 1 species